CCUACGGGGGGCAGCAGUGAGGAAUAUUGGUCAAUGGCCGCAGGGCUGAACCAGCCAAGUCGCGUGAGGGAUGACGGUUCUAUGGAUUGUAAACCUCUUUUGCCAGGGAGCAAAGGGCCCCAAGUGUGGCGCUUUGCGAGUACCUGAAGAAAAAGCAUCGGCUAACUCCGUGCCAGCAGCCGCGGGAAUACGGAGGAUGCGAGCGUUAUCCGGAUUUAUUGGGUUUAAAGGGUGCGCAGGCGGAAUGGCAAGGCAGCGGUAAAAUUUCGGGGCUCAACCCCGUCGUGCCGUCGAAACUGGCGUUCUUGAGUGAGCGGGGAGUAUGCGGAAUGCGUGGUGUAGCGGUGAAAUGCAUAGAUAUCACGCAGAACUCCGAUUGCGAAGGCAGCAUACCGGCGCUCAACUGACGCUCAUGCACGAAAGCGUGGGUAUCGAACAGGAUUAGAUACCCUUGUAGUC
rnacentral:rRNA from 1 species